UCCCUGGAAGUCCAGUGGUUAGGACUCAGUGCUUUGACUGCUGCGGCCCGGGUUCAAUCCCUGGUCAGGGAA